AGGAUUCCCCUAGUAACUGCGAGUGAAGAGGGAAAAGCUCAAAUUUGAAAUCUGGUGGUUCUUGUGACCAUCCGAGUUGUAAUUUAGAGAAGUGUUACCCGCGCUGGACCGUGUACAAGUCUCCUCGAACGGAGCAUCAUAAAGGGUGAGAAUCCCGUAUAUGACACGGACUGCCAGGGCUUUGUGGUGCGCUCUCAACGAGUCGAGUUGUUUGGGAAUGCAGCUCUAAAUGGGUGGUAAAUUCCAUCUAAAGCUAAAUAUAGGCGAGAGACCGAUAGCGAACAAGUACCGUGAGGGAAAGAUGAAAAGAACUUUGGAAAGAGAGUUAAACAGUACGUGAAAUUGUUGAAAGGGAAACGCUUGAAGUCAGUCGCGUCUCUCAGAGAUCAACCUGGCCUUUUCGCUGGGUGCACUCUCUGUGGGAUGGGUCAGCAUCAAUUUUGACUGGGGGAAAAAGUCUGUGGGGAUGUGGCACCCUUGUGGUGUGUUAUAACCUGCUUGCAUAUACCUCUGUUGGGAUUGAGGAACUCAGCACGCCUAAAGGCCGGACUUUAGUCACGUACGUGCUUAGGAUGCUGGCAUAAUGUCUUCAAUCGACCCGUCUUGAAACACGGACCAAGGAGUCUAACAUGUGCGCGAGUGUUUGGGUGAAAAACUCAAGUGCGUAAUGAAAGUGAAAGUUGAGACCUCUGUCGUGGAGGGCAUCGACGCCCGGAUCAGAUCUUUUGGGACGAUUCCGAGGUAGAGCGUGCACGUUGGGACCCGAAAGAUGGUGAACUAUGCUUGAAUAGGGUGAAGCCAGAGGAAACUCUGGUGGAGGCUCGUAGCGAUUCUGACGUGCAAAUCGAUCGUCGAAUUUGGGUAUAGGGG
rnacentral:rRNA from 1 species